rnacentral:rRNA from 1 species
UACGAAGGGUGCAAGCGUUACUCGGAAUUACUGGGCGUAAAGCGUGCGUAGGUGGUUUGUUAAGUCUGCUGUGAAAGCCCCGGGCUCAACCUGGGAAUGGCAGUGGAUACUGGCAAGCUAGAGUGCGGUAGAGGGGUGUGGAAUUCCCGGUGUAGCGGUGAAAUGCGCAGAUAUCAGGAAGAACACCCGUGGCGAAGGCGGCUCUCUGGAACGCAACUGACGCUGAGACGCGAAAGCGUGGGGAGCAAACAGG